rnacentral:rRNA from 1 species
AAACUUUACAAUGCUGGAAACAGCGAUAAGGGAACCUCGAGUGCCUCGAUACAAUCGAGGCUGUCGUUCUGUCUAAAAAACAGGAUAUAGCAAGGGCCGGGCAAGACCGGUGCCAGCCGCCGCGGUAACACCGGCGGCUCGAGUGGUAACCGCUAUUAUUGGGUCUAAAGGGUCUGUAGCCGGCCCUGUGAGUCUCUUGGGAAAUCCGGCAGCUCAACUGUCGGGCUAUCAGGGGAUACUGCAGGGCUCGAGACCGGGAGAGGUGAGAGGUACUUCAGGGGUAGGGGUGAAAUCUUGUAAUCCUUGAAGGACCACCAGUGGCGAAGGCGUCUCACCAGAACGGAUCUGACGGCAAGGGACGAAAGCUAGGGGCACGAACCGG